rnacentral:misc_RNA from 1 species
GAUGAAGAACGCAGCGAAAUGCCAUAAGUAAUGUGAAUUGCAGAAUUCAGUGAAUCAUCGAAUCUUUGAACGCACAUUGCGCCCGCCAGUAUUCUGGCGGGCAUGCCUGUUCGAGCGUCAUUUCAACCAUCAAGCCCCCGGCUUGUGUUGGGGACCUGCGGCUGCCGCAGGCCCUGAAAACCAGUGGCGGGCUCGCUAGUCACUCCGAGCGUAGUAAUACAUCUCGCUCAGGGCGUGCUGCGGGUUCCGGCCGUUAAAAAGCCUUAUUUACCCAAGGUUGACCUCGGAUCAGGUAGGAAGACCCGCUGAACUUAAGCAUAUCAAUAAGCGGAGGA